UACGAAGGGGGCUAGCGUUGCUCGGAAUCACUGGGCGUAAAGCGCACGUAGGCGGCUUUUUAAGUCAGAGGUGAAAUCCUGGAGCUCAACUCCAGAACUGCCUUUGAUACUGAGAGGCUUGAGUCCGGGAGAGGUGAGUGGAACUGUGAGUGUAGAGGUGAAAUUCGUAGAUAUUCGCAAGAACACCAGUGGCGAGGGCGGCUCACUGGCCCGGUACUGACGCUGAGGUGCGAAAGCGUGGGGAGCAAACAGG
rnacentral:rRNA from 1 species